CACACACACACACACAACUUUAAGGAAAAGCUGGACAAAUACAGAUAUGGAGACGGGACCACAUGAGCUUAAGCCCAGGCCCUGUAAAAGUACAACUAGGUAAUACACACACAAUAUUGUUAAUUCACAUUCCAUGUUGCCAUCAUUAAUAGCAUACAUACAUGUCUGAUACUGGGCAAGUAGGAGAAGCUCUGAGACUGCCCCUUGAUGGGAAGGAUAUGAACAACAGUCACAGGAGACAGAACAGCCGGGGGCGCUCAACAGUCUUAAAGGUUGUGAUCCUGGGAGAUGGUGGUGUGGGGAAGUCAUGCCUCAUGAACCGCUUUGUAACUGACCGCUUUGAUGAGCACUCUUUCCAUACCAUAGGGGUGGAGUUCCUCAACAAAGAGAUCGAGCUGGGAGGAGAAACAUACACGUUACAGAUUUGGGACACAGCAGGACAAGAACGAUUCAAAAGCCUAAGGACUCCUUUCUACCGAGGCUCGGACAUGUGCCUGCUAACAUUCAGCAUAGAUGACCCUCCCAGCUUUAAGAAUUUGGAAACUUGGAGGAAGGAAUUUGUCUAUUAUGCUGAUGUUAAGGCAGACUUUCCUUUCUUAGUUGUUGGGAAUAAGGUUGACCUAGAGAGGAAAGUAGACAGAGAGGAAGCAGAAGCCUGGUGUAGAGAGAAUGGUGACCUUCCUUACAUUGAAACCUCAGCAAAGGAUGCUACUAAUGUGGAGGCAUCCUUUAUGAUGUGCCUCAAACGAUGGGCAAAUAUAGAGGGCCGUCAGGAACGAAUGCCAAUGCCAGACACAGUCCAGUUGGAUGGUAGAGGGUCUCGACACCGACUCUGCUCUUGUUCUUCAUAGGUCUAAAGAUUAUGUUGGGAAGAGAAAAGGAAGAUGCUCAAAUGGGUAUGUGGGAUGCUUCUAUUUGACUUGUGGUGAUCAGUGGAGAAGAGUGAACCAGUCUGAACUUCCUCCAUCACAUCUAGUAGUAGCAUCACAUGUUGGACCUGCCAACAUUGGAACAAAGAAGAGAAAGGGGAGACCUAAUACUAAUUUACAUGUUGUGGAACAAAAUGGAAGUAGAUAAUGAGGAGUUGCUACUAAGAGAAGUAAGAAACACCAGCAACACACGAGGACACAGUAAAAAAUUGAGAAAGGGAAGAUGUUUGAGAGACAUAAAAAAUAUAGCUUUCUGCAAUUAAGCAUAGAGGUUUGGCAUAGACUAAGUGAGGAAGUGGUAUUGGCGAAGAGUGUGCACAUCUUUAAGGAAAAACUAGAAGAGUACAGAUAUGGAGACUUUAAGGAGCUCACUCGGGUCUGGAGGGUACUUGCUGGCGAUGACGAACCCAACUCAAGAUCAAGGCUGUGGGUGAGUUACAGUUUGCCAUCAGCAAACAUGAAUUCCCUGAGCACGAAAGCUUUGAUUCCACAAAUAGGUUAUGUCCAGAAAUUUACCCAACAUUGCUGUCAAGGAAAAUGGCAUUAAUGCUGUUACCAAUAAUUAUGAUUAUUAAGUGCUUCUAACCUCAGUCACAUAUCCUAUGGAGACUAAAUGAUAAAUGUAAAUUCUCAAAUACAUUUGUGAAAGAUGUAUAUCUUGAGAUAUGUGUCUACACAGAUAAGUGAUGACUCAAGAUUGCAGAUAUUUGUAAAUUGAUAGUUCUACGUGAUAUUGUUAUUAUCAUUAUUAUUAUUAUUAUUAUUAUUAUUAUUAUUAUUAUUAUUAUUAUUAUUAUUAUUAUUAUUAUUAUUAUUAUUACUAUUAUUGUUGUUACAAACUAAAGAGGAUAAUGAUGCCAAGGGCUUUUGUUUACUGUUACCCAGGCAGUCUUCUGCCAACCUCUUGAGUGUUGCAUUAUUAACUCAGUGCCGCUAAGUUAGUUGGCAGUUGUUGUUAGGGUUGUCGCCCCUGUGGAGGCUACAGUUCAGUGAAUGCAAAUAUGGCUGAUGAAAUACCAAUGUCUGUAGUGAAGAAUACAGUUGUGGCAAUAACUUUAGCUAGGUGUAUCAUGCAUCUGAAUAUCUUAUUUUAUCUUAUUUAAUAUAGAAAUAUUCAAAUUCAUCAAACUCCUUUAGUGUUGUGCUUCAUAAUGAGAGAUAUGUAGGUUCUCAUUAAUGACUGAAAAUACAGCUGAAUCACAAUGCUAUUUUUCAUCAAUUUGUAAUAGAGUGGGAUAGAAAAGUUAGCGUGAAAUAGUCACAUGAAAUAUUUUGCAAAAAAAAAAGAGAAAAUGGAAUCAGAAAAUACUUUUAGAGUAUAUGAAAAAAAUGGGUUUAAGUUCCUUUACUGUAGUUUGAAAGGUAUGUAACAAGUAACCAAUGUUUUUCUUAUCAAAAAUUUGAAGUGACAUGUUUGAGUGUUUUGUAUUUUACCAAAGAGCAAUUUUUCCUACCUCAAAUGUCCAAUUUGGAUAAUGCUAUCAUCUGAUUCGGAAAAGGCUGUCGUAUAUACUUGCAUAAAAGUUGACCUUGGAUGUUCAAUCUUGGAAUAAAUUUAUCCCCUUUGAAAAGUAGUAUCCAUGUGAAAGUCAAUCCAGGUAAUUUGGUCAAAAAAUUCUUUCUAAACACAGUGUAAAGAAUUCAAUUCAGAAAUUUUUUGGAGUAAGAUAAUUGAUUCAAUUUAAAUAAUUAUAAUAAUAAUGAUUUUCAUGAUUAUAAAAAAAACUAACUCAAGUCAAGAAGUACAAUAAGAAUAAGGAAAACACUUAUAGAGGGUGACAAUUGCAAAUUUCCUCAUUAUUCAUGAAUCAUUCAUAUUUUUCAAAGAUAAGCAACAUCCCCACAUCCUCAGGUUAGUUGCUUAAGUAUUGAAGAAGUGACCAUUAUUCAUUGCCAUACUUCUGCUGAUAUAAACUGUGAUGAUAUGUAGGGCUGAAUUAGUGAUAACAAUAUCCUAGUGAUGAGUAUGCCUAAACAGGAAUUAUAAUGUAAUAUUCACUGUAGAGUUUCUAAUUACAUGCCAGUAAGUAGCGACACUUAAGCUUGUUUGUCAUAAAGCGGGAUCUGAAAUGUACCAAGAGAUUAUUAUAUGAUAGAGUUAUUUAUAUUUUUCAGUACUAUGAUAUUGAAUGGCUGUUUUGUUUGCUUUGUCAUAUGGUUUGCCAUUUCAUUUCAUGUGAGAAUGUGUGGUCAUUAUGUAACCAAUAGGGUGAAUUGGUAUGAAAAAUAUUGAAAAAUUAAGUACUGUUAGCCACAAAUAUGACUUCUUAUCAAGAGAAACAAAAUUGUUUUUAACUCAUAGAGAUUCAGAGUUGGAGCCUAUAUCAUUAUGCAGCAGGACAUAGGCCUCUUCCAAACAUUUCAUUUAAUUUCUGUCUUGCCUCUAGUUACCAGUUUUGAUGUAAACAUUCCACAUGGCACUUUUCGGUUUCAUCACAGCAUCAUUUUUUUUUUUUUUUUCCAGCAGUUGUUUCCCAGUCUAUUUCUCUUUUUGUUCAUCUGUUGUCCUCUCUACUACAUGUGUUCUGACCAUUGUCAUUUCUUGAUUUUUAUUGCCUUUAUGAAUAACGUCAUUUACUUCAGUGUUCGUAUUCUUUGUGCACUUUUCAGUUUCCUUUCCAGAGCCUUGGUCAAAGUCCAUGUCUCUAAUCCAUGAGCAUAUGUUGUGACGAGGACACACUAAUUGAAAACCCUUCACUUUAAGCUCAACAGUAGAGUCUCAGUAUGUUACCUUGUUUUUCAAAAGCACUCCAGACCAGUUUUAUACAUGUUUUUUUUCUGGCUUGAGUGAGGGAUUUGUUUGUAUCAGUUGUUCUAGGUAUACAUAUUCAUUAACUGUAUCCAGAGCUUCCUUCUGGAUAACUAUGGUUAAUUUGAGUAUGCUUGCUAACCUGUUCACUUUGGCUAACUUGAAGCUAUGAAUGGCUGAGAAAAGGCAAAAUAUGGACCAAAUAUAAGACUAGCAAAACAACAUGGAAUGUACAUGAGCAUGCUCUUCUCAUAACCAUGCAGCCACCAGUACUUUUUUAUCACAAAAAUAUCAUUCUUACUGGGUGAUUUUGGUUACAAAAUAAACCUACUUGUGAUGGCUGGCAUCCAGCCUGAUGUCACUUCACCCCAAGGUGCCUUUGUUGUUCGUUGUGGAACCUAUAGGUCUUGUCGUUUCCGUUAUCCUGUGCUGGUUGGCUGGCUUUGGGAGCAAGGGCCACACAUCUACCUGGGUCAUGUUUGGUGGUUUGCCACUUGUCACUAUGGCCUAUUGUUUGCUCCAACUUGGAGUCGUGGACACUAGUGACCAUAUAGAACAUGUAACACUAUAGUCUGGCUCGGCUAAACGUGCGGUUGUGGGGGGGUUCAGCGUAGGGGAUCCCCUUGUACAGCAUUGCCGCGUGUCUCCUAGCCCGCAAUGUAGAUAUGUUCUAAUAUAAGUAAAACCAUGGCAAAUAUGAUCAGCAAAUAUGCAUACACAUUUAAGGGGCGCUACUAUGGGGGGUCCUCCUGUGCAUAUGAUAGCCUAUGUCCAGUAGCUUUGAAAUUUUAGUAUGUUGUUUGUAGGUGUAAAAGUAUGAUAUUCUGUGAAUUUCAUUAAAUUUGGGUGAAGUUUAGAAGAGACUCAAACAAAGAUUUUUUUUUUUUUUUUCACAGACUUUAUUUUUCAGUUAAUCGUUUUGAAAAAAAUACCAUAGAAAAUUUGUUUACCUAUCUACAUUUUCUACUGAUAAAAUAGUGGAGUUUUUGUUAUGUCUUUGAAAAAAAAAAUGUCACAUACUUUUCUCCACUCUGUACCCUGUUUUCUUUUGACAUUUUUUGAAAUUUUGUUAAUAGCAAAAAUUGUCCUUUAGUUGUGGUUUUAAAUGACACCUAACAAAAGUUGGUCAGACUUUUUACCGAUUUUGUGAAAUUUUUUGAAGUGUAAAAAUCUACUUUUUUGAGAUAUUGGCUUCUAAAGAUUUUUUCCAUUACAUCCAUGUCUUGCCAUUUGUAUUUAUUUGAUUGGAAUGAAAUUUUCACAUAUUAUUGUGUAUACCUUGUUGACUUACUGGAGAAUGAUAAGGCAUUUGGUCCCGCGACACUCCUGCUCGCUUCUACCUCUAAAUACCUCACUUCUAUUCUACUCUCUUGCUUGUUUUCCGAGUCUUGGCUGCUCCAUAAGCCCUCUUGAUGUUAAUGACUUUUUCUGGUUGCCUUGCGCUUGUACAUCAUUUGUAAGGACGUUUUUUUGGCUGGAAUGGAGAAAAAAUACGACACACUCUCCCUGUCUGUCUCGCUUGGCACUGGCGUGGUGGCACCUCUCUUCCCCCCCCUGCCUCGCCGCACAGAGAAGAGAGGAUGACAGAUGACAAAAUUUAUGGAGAAAAAAUAUUCUAAUGCAAUUUUUACGUAAAUACAAGCAUUGAAUGAUACCGCAUAUGUUGCCACAUAUGUCCGGGUAUGACGCAACAGCCUCUCCAGGGGGAGGGGUUUUAAUUUUAUGAAAACAAACCUCACCACCUGGCAAUUUAGGCUUUCCCAGCCAUGCUGAGCAUGGCUGAUUUUAAAUAUAUUCAUCGUGAAGUACCUCAUAAUCGCGCCCCUUAAUCUUAGUACUAUCAUAACGUAUGAAAGAACAGUUAACUUAUUAUGGAUAAGAUAUUUAUAAGCAUAUAAAGAAACGUGGCAUACAUAUUUUAGUUUUGCUAAAAAAAAAAAAAUGCUAUACUUAUUGAGUUUCCCUUUUGUUUUGGGAUGUGUAUGUAGUUUCACAAUUAUAUUUAGAUUAUAUCGUGAAGGAAUGUACGUUAAAAUAAGGUGAUAUAAGUAAGAAAAAACUACAUUCAAAUCCUCGUGGCGAUAACACCACGAGAGAGAGAGAGAGAGAGAGAGAGAGAGAGAGAGAGAGAGAGAGAGGCAACCAACGUGGGGUUAAAAACGUGGCAACGCUGUACUCCCGGAUUAUUCCUCACAUGGCACCUUACAGCCGCACUUUAAGAUGAGUCUUACUAAGCCCAUGUAUGAACACCGGUGGCCGAAGCGAAGUGAAGUGGUCAAACAUAGCUUUAGUUUCUCUUAUUCCUCGUAAGUUUUACUUGUAGACUUUCCCCGUUUAAUUCUUGUAUCAGCUGCAGUUCACCACUAGACUUUAAAGACAACAUCAUCUGCAAAUUUAAAAGUACUUUUGUUUACCAACUUUUAUUUCUUUACACUCCAGUUAAGCAAUUUGAGUGUUUCUUCUAAGAACACCAUAAACAGCAUAUAGAUGAUACAGUUUUGCCCUGUCUGACACUUUUUACUGAAGUUUUUCUGGCAUCUGUGAAGUUAAAUAGUUGCGGUUUCAUAUCUGUAUACGUCUUCAAUAAUUUUACAAUAGAUUUUGCCAACACCCUGUUGUUGCAUUGCAUUCAGUACCACUACAGUUUUCACUGAGUCAACCGCCUUCUCUUAGUCAGUAAAUGCCAAACAAAGAGGUUUCUUGCAGUUUUUUUUUUUUUUU